UACAGAGGUGGCAAGCGUUGUUCGGAAUUACUGGGCGUAAAGGGCGCGUAGGCGGUCUUGUAAGUCUCGUGUGAAAUCCCUCGGCUUAACUGAGGAACUGCACGGGAUACUGCAUGACUUGAGAUCGGGAGAGAGAAGCGGAAUUCCGGGUGUAGCGGUGAAAUGCGUAGAUAUCCGGAGGAACACCGGUGGCGAAGGCGGCUUCCUGGACCGACACUGACGCUGAGGCGCGAAAGCGUGGGGAGCAAACAGG
rnacentral:rRNA from 1 species